CCUACGGGUGGCUGCAGUGGGGAAUUUUGGACAAUGGGGGAAACCCUGAUCCAGCCAUGCCGCGUGCAGGAUGAAGGCCUUCGGGUUGUAAACUGCUUUUGUACGGAACGAAAAGGUCUUUUCUAAUAAAGAAGGCUGAUGACGGUACCGUAAGAAUAAGCACCGGCUAACUACGUGCCAGCAGCCGCGGUAAUACGUAGGGUGCGAGCGUUAAUCGGAAUUACUGGGCGGGUAACGCGCGCAGGAUGUUAAAUCCCCGGGCUCAACCUGGGAACUGCAUUAGUGACUGCAUAGCUAGAGUGCGGCAGAGGGGGAUGGAAUUCCGCGUGUAGCAGUGAAAUGCGUAGAUAUGCGGAGGAACACCGAUGGCGAAGGCAAUCCCCUGGGCCUGCACUGACGCUCAUGCACGAAAGCGUGGGGAGCAAACAGGAUUAGAUACCCUAGUAGUC
rnacentral:rRNA from 1 species